CACGCAGGCGGUUUGCUAAGCUAGAUGUGAAAGCCCCGGGCUCAACCUGGGAACUGCAUUUAGAACUGGCGAACUAGAGUCUUGUAGAGGGGGGUAGAAUUCCAGGUGUAGCGGUGAAAUGCGUAGAGAUCUGGAGGAAUACCGGUGGCGAAGGCGGCCCCCUGGACAGAGACUGACGCUCAGGUGCGAAAGCGUGGGGAGCAAACA
rnacentral:rRNA from 1 species